GACACCGUCCUAUUAUUUAGUGGUUUUAUCAGGUACACUAGUUUUCUCUUCCUUAUCUGUGUGUGUGUGUGUGUGAGAUUCAAGAUACAAUUUAUUUAUUCAUUCCAGGGUCAUUGCCCUAUGGAAAGGGGGACAACAAAUGAUAUGACAAUCAAGCUAUCAAUAUACAAUGAAGCAGGAGACAAAAAAAAGUUUCAUAAUAUUUAACCAAAUAUUAGGAAAUGAAAAUGGAUGUGGUGCCGUCCUUUGAUAAAGUCGUUUCCGCCAACCAUCCGCCAUUGAUUACCGCCUUCGUCUGAGGUCAACAUCAUGACUCCACACACUCUCUCACACAGAGGAUGCUGCAGAUCCCGGUUACAGGCCCUAGCACACGCACAGAGGUUGUCCGUGAAGCGGGUACGCAGACAUGGCAGGCGGGUAGAAGCUGGAGGUGGUGGCAGACUGGUUCACAUGAAGGGCACGAUGUCGACUUGACCUCUCUCCCUCCUCCUUCCGUACCUUUGAACCAGAGGUUGAUCAUUCCUCAAAUCCACAACUCCAUCGCCUGAGUCGCUGCUUAGCAAUUGAAAACGCAGGUUUGGGAGGGACCUGCAGGUUCUUUGCGACCUCCGCGAGGUCUGCACCUGAUUACGAAUAGUGGACAUCCUUACAGAUUUUCUUCCGAUUUUUUGGCUGCCUCCUUCGGUCCAUCGUGGUAGAUCCUGGCUGCAGAGGCAUCAGAGGCGGUAAUUAUGAACCGAAAAUCUCGAAGGUAAUUGUUGGUGUGGAGUGGGGUCUUCUUGCACUGGCUCGUAGGAUGGAAGAUAGUCUGAAAUUUCUUUUCUCUUGUGAUUGGUCUGUAGAUGUCGACCGUCGGGGACCAUAAAGUGUCUCUCGCCUAGUUUCCAAUGAAACAAACGUGUUGCUAUUAUAAAUCAACGUUUUAAGUGUUAGUUUUAUGUAAGCCAUCGGAUUUUCAUUAGAGUUUGGAGAGUAAAUGCAUUUUUAAAAGUAUUUGUUCCGGAUUUUUGUUCCUUGUUUUCUUUUUAUCAGAAUAUAACGAUUUCAGAUAAAUCUUCGU